UACGUAGGGUGCAAGCGUUUGUCCGGAAUUAUUGGGCGUAAAGAGCUCGUAGGCGGUCUGUCACGUCGGACGUGAAAAUCCAGGGCUCAACCCUGGACCUGCGUUCGAUACGGGCAGACUAGAGUUCGGUAGGGGAGACUGGAAUUCCUGGUGUAGCGGUGAAAUGCGUAGAUAUCAGGAGGAACACCGGUGGUGUAGACGGCUCACUGGACCGUAACUGACGCUGAGACACGAAAGCGUGGGUAGCAAACAGG
rnacentral:rRNA from 1 species